rnacentral:lncRNA from 1 species
AGAGAUGAAACCGGCAGAAGAGUCAUGUUUGGUCGAAACCCAUUCUGUCGACUGAAAUGAAGAUUGGGACUUAAGGAAUUCUUGGUUAUGUCAAACACAUAGGAGACAGGGUCGACCUAAAUACCCGGGCGGGAGAAGUUUGAAAUUGAAAAUGACUAGCAGUUACAAGGAGAAUAAGCGCCAGAAUAUGGAGCAGCUUGCAGAACGUGUAUAGAGCAGUUUGUAGAUCGUGUAACACGACGUCUGUUAUUUUUUAGAAGUUUUUGGCCUGUAGGCAGUUUCUU